rnacentral:misc_RNA from 1 species
GAUGAAGAACGUAGCAAAAUGCGAUAAGUAAUGUGAAUUGCAGAAUUCAGUGAAUCAUCGAAUCUUUGAACGCACAUCGCGCCCGCCAGUAUUCUGGCGGGCAUGCCUGUUCGAGCGUCAUUUCAACCCUCAAGCACAGCUUGGUGUUGGGACUCGCGUUAAUUCGCGUUCCUCAAAUUGAUUGGCGGUCACGUCGAGCUUCCAUAGCGUAGUAGUAAAACCCUCGUUACUGGUAAUCGUCGCGGCCACGCCGUUAAACCCCAACUUCUGAAUGUUGACCUCGGAUCAGGUAGGAAUACCCGCUGAACUUAAGCAUAUCAAUAAGCGGAGGA